rnacentral:rRNA from 1 species
AAUAGAUACCCAGGUAGUCCACGCCGUAAACGAUGUCGACUUGGAGGUUGUUCCCUUGAGGAGUGGCUUCCGGAGCUAACGCGUUAAGUCGACCGCCCGGGGAGUACGGCCGCAAGGUUAAAACUCAAAUGAAUUGACGGGGGCCCGCACAAGCGGUGGAGCAUGUGGUUUAAUUCGAUGCAACGCGAAGAAUCUUACCUACUCUUGACAUCCAGAGAACUUAGCAGAGAUGCUUUGGUGCCUUCGGGAACUCUGAGACAGGUGCUGCAUGGCUGUCGUCAGCUCGUGUUGUGAAAUGUUGGGUUAAGUCCCGCAACGAGCGCAACCCUUAUCCUUUGUUGCCAGCGGUCCGGCCGGGAACUCAAAGGAGACUGCCAGUGAUAAACUGGAGGAAGGUGGGGAUGACGUCAAGUCAUCAUGGCCCUUACGAGUAGGGCUACACACGUGCUACAAUGGCGUAUACAAAGAGAAGCGACCUCGCGAGAGCAAGCGGACCUCAUAAAGUACGUCGUAGUCCGGAUUGGAGUCUGC